GACGAACCGUGCGAACGUUAUUCGGAAUCAUUGGGCUUAAAGGGUGCGUAGGCAGGCUCGUGAGUCAGGGGUGAAAUCCCACGGCCCAACCGUGGAAGUGCCUCUGAUACCGCGGGCCUCGAGGGGGAUAGGGGCGUGCGGAACUUCCGGUGGAGCGGUGAAAUGCGUAGAUAUCGGAAGGAACACCGGUGGCGAAAGCGGCGCGCUGGAUCCCUACUGACGCUGAGGCACGAAAGCGUGGGGAGCAAACAGG
rnacentral:rRNA from 1 species